GGGGGUGAACGGUUUCGACUCCGGAUGUCGAUCGAGGUGAAGCGUGCCGAGGAAGGCGACGAUGAUCUCGCAAACCACCCGUCGCAAAAAAUCAAGCGCCGACAAGAGUCAGCGCGCCUACGCCCUCGCCGCCUGAGCGAGGAGCGUGGCUGUCGGACCGGGGGCUCCCUCGCCCCGGACCCCGGCAUCAUUCAGAGGGAUUACCGUGCGGGCCGGUCGCGGGCGCGCACGGGACAUCUCACAGCGACUGGGAUCGUCACUUCGGCUUGUUCGCGUGACCGAAGGAUCCGAGUAGAGGCGUAGCGAACUGCGCACGGAGAAGCCCUCGUGAAGCAACGGAGGACCCGGGUUCGAUUCCCGGCACCUCCACAC
rfam:Pseudonocardia dioxanivorans CB1190, complete genome.